CAGCCGCCGCGGGAAUACAGAGGGUGCGAGCGUUAAUCGGAUUUACUGGGCGUAAAGCGCACGUAGGCGGACAUUUAAGUCAGGGGUGAAAUCCCGGGGCUCAACCCCGGAACUGCCUUUGAUACUGGGUGUCUAGAGUAUGGAAGAGGUGAGUGGAAUUCCGAGUGUAGAGGUGAAAUUCGUAGAUAUUCGGAGGAACACCAGUGGCGAAGGCGGCUCACUGGUCCAUUACUGACGCUGAGGUGCGAAAGCGUGGGGAGCAAACAGGAUUAGAUACCCCAGUAGUCCCUGUCUCUUAUAC
rnacentral:rRNA from 1 species